ACGCUCGACACCUACGGGAGGCGGCAGUUGGGAAUAUUGGACAAUGGAGGAAACUCUGAUCCAGUGACGCCGCGUGAAGGAAGAAGGUCUUCGGAUUGUAAACUUAUUUUGUCAGGGAAGAAAAAUGACUGUACCUGAAGAAAAAGCACCGGCUAACUACGUGUCAGCAGCCGCGGUAAUCUGAGCGGGCUGGCAAGGC
rnacentral:rRNA from 1 species